CAGAAGGCAAGAGAGGGAGCGGCCGUCAGGAAGGCAAAUUCCAAACGGAGAGGAACAAGCUUAGAAGCCAGGUUUUGGAAUGUGUGAAAUAAGGCUGUCUCUGCGCUGCAGAAUUCAGGACGAUGUUAAACAGAAGCGGCAAAGGGCGGGCAUCUUCCUCCUGUUCCUGAUCUCAGAGGAAAAGCGUUCUCUCUUUCACCCCCGAGUAGCCGGGAGCUGCGGGAUUUCGCCUCCAUCAGGUGAACACGUUUCCUUCUGUUCCUAGUUUACUGAGAAUUUUUAUUAUGAACUGUGCUGGAUUUUUUUCAAAAGACUUUUCUGUGUCUACUGUCCUUUUUCUAAUAAUACAGUUUAUUGAAUUCAUUGAGACUUCAUGAUGAUUUUAUGUUCCUGUGUUUGCAAAUCAUACGUAGUGAUUUGCAGAAACCCCUCCGUAUAGUAAAUUUUGAUAAAGAAUUGGAGGAGGAAGUUAAGGAGGCCGAACUUCCGUUUCAAGGUACUUUUUUGAGAGGAGAAGGCAGAGGCACAGAAGACUGAUGGCGGCCGCUCUAAUGAUGAAGGGGAAGCAAUUAGCAUCCAGACAGA